rnacentral:rRNA from 1 species
UACGAAGGGGGCUAGCGUUGUCCGGAAUCAUUGGGCGUAAAGGGCGCGUAGGUGGCUUCUUAAGCGUGCGGUGAAAGCCUGGGGCUCAACCCCGGGUCGGCCGUGCGAACUGGGGGGCUGGAGCACUGUAGAGGCAGGCGGAAUUCCGGGUGUAGCGGUGGAAUGCGUAGAGAUCCGGAAGAACACCGGUGGCGAAGGCGGCCUGCUGGGCAGUAGCUGACGCUGAGGCGCGACAGCGUGGGGAGCAAACAGG